UGGGGAAUUUUGGACAAUGGGCGAAAGCCUGAUCCAGCAAUGCCGCGUGUGUGAAGAAGGCCUUCGGGUUGUAAAGCACUUUUGUCCGGAAAGAAAUCCUUGGCUCUAAUACAGUCGGGGGAUGACGGUACCGGAAGAAUAAGCACCGGCUAACUACGUGCCAGCAGCCGCGGUAAUACGUAGGGUGCAAGCGUUAAUCGGAAUUACUGGGCGUAAAGCGUGCGCAGGCGGUUUGCUAAGACCGAUGUGAAAUCCCCGGGCUCAACCUGGGACUGCAUUGGUGACUGGCAGGCUAGAGUAUGGCAGGAGGGGGGUAGAAUUCCACGUGUGAGCAGUGAAAUGCGUAGAGAUGUGGAGGAAUACCGAUGGCGAAGGCAGCCCCCUGGGCCAAUACUGACGCUCAUGCACGAAAG
rnacentral:rRNA from 1 species